rnacentral:misc_RNA from 1 species
CCAAACUUGGUCAUUUAGAGGAAGUAAAAGUCGUAACAAGGUCUCCGUUGGUGAACCAGCGGAGGGAUCAUUACUGAGUUGAAAAACUCCCAAACCACUGUGAACAUACCAGUAACGUUGCCUCGGCGAGUGGCCCCAGGGCGGGGCCGCUACUUUCCUCCGGGUGAGUGCUCGCCGUAGGUUAGACACUAUUGAAACUUUUGCAACUCUGAGUAAACUCUAAAAAUCAAAACUUUCAACAACGGAUCUCUUGGUUCUGGCAUCGAUGAAGAACGCAGC